rnacentral:antisense_RNA from 1 species
ACCGCCGUGAAAUCCCAGGCCGCCUGCGGGUCCAGCAGUCCUGUUCCGCCGAAAUGGUCGCCGUCGUCGAUGACGUCGAGCAGGAUCCGUUCACCGUAUUCGCCGGUACCGUGCCUGGUGACCCUGCCGCGCGCGAGCACCCGCACCCCGUCGACGGGGUCGCCGGACGCGCAGAUCGUCUCGCCGGAGGUGUACUCGUCCUGCCGGAACGCCUCCGCCAGUUCCCGCAGCACGUCAUCGUCGUCGAACUCGCGCAGCGCGCGCAGUUCCCGCAGUUCCCCGGCGACCGGACGGUAGGUGCCGUCGGCGAGGGUGCAGGUGAUCUGCCCGUCGCCGAUGGUGUAGGUCCGCCGCCGGUUGACCCGGUACGUACCACUGGAGACCUCCACCCACGGCAGCAUGCGCAGCAGCCACCGCGGCGUGAUGCCCUGCAUGUAGGGCUCGGACUUCGUGGUGGUGGACAGCGUCCGAGCUGCCUCGGUGCUGAGGGCGGACAACGG